rnacentral:rRNA from 1 species
AUGUGGCACCCCUACAAACAUGACAAGUUAUAUGAACAGUUUCAGACUUGGAAGAAAACAGAGCAUGGCAGGAACAGAUUCAUGAUAGCUAUUUUGCAAGCUCAAAACACUCGUCACAAAGCAUUACAUGGCAUCAAAAGGUAA